rnacentral:lncRNA from 1 species
UUAGAAAUAAAUUUAGCUGAAAAUGUAAAACAAUUAAGCUUUAAACUUGAAAUCUUGGGUAUCAGUCCCGGCAACAGACUCAUGGUUUUGAACUCAUUGCUGUGAUGUGCCGUUUGGGCUACAGCUACUAUCCCUCAUCUCCCUGCUAACACCACCCUUUUUGUUUUUCUCUUUGUUUUCUUUCUGCAUUUCAUUUUUACGUCAUCCUUUUUUGCCUGUGUUUCGAAGGCCCUGGCUGUUUCCAUAUUGUACGUUUAAUUCAUUUUGCUUAAUGAAUGAAGCAUGUAGCUUACUACUUAUUUCUCAAAAAGAAAUCUCGGGUAUCAAAUAUAUAUCAAGUCUUUUACCACCUGUAUUAGGGGCGGUUAGUGAAACUAUCGGAGUGCUAAAUCUUUUUUUUUUAAUGCAAGACAAAUAAUAUUAAAAAAUAUGAAAUUUUGUUUCUAGCAAGUUCAAAGAAUCUUCUAGAUAAUGUAUAUAAGGCAUCGAUCGUUGACUCUGAUCGCUAAUUCUAUAUAACAGUGCAGAAAUAGGUUACUCUGUUUACUUUUAAAAAUAUUCUAACUCU